ACUCAGUGGUUCCCACAAUAUAUAAAGUUAUACAAGACUGUCCAGUCUAGAAAUGGUGAAUAUCAAUACUUCAAUACAAGAUCUAUAUGUCGAAGAGCUUUUAGCCGCUAUUCAUACCAAGUCUAUCCACAACUAUAUCACCAGAACCAGUCUCGCUAGAGAUUUCAAUUCGGUGCUCGUCCACCACAAUAGAAAUGUACAACGAUAAGGUUAGGAGAUUAUAUUUAUAUUUUAGUUCACAGUCUGGUACUAAGUGCUUAUUGACGGCGGUAAUAAUUAAGAUAUAAAAGCGGUUUGGCUGCUUAAAUUAACUGUGUAUAACCAUAAUUAAAGCUAUAAAGUAUAAACCGCUUUUGUGUUCGUUUAUAUUUGUAUCGGGCAAUAUUUAAUUGAUGUAUUAGUAGCGACAGAAUCUGGAAAUUUUGAGAUUGCAUAGUCGGGUGUUAUGCUGUGUUGUAAUACGAUAUCUAGAAGUAAGCGCAUUUUGUGAUUGUUCGUGUGAAAUCUUGUUGAGAAUUGCCCCCGAGAUAAUCUUCAACACAAUAGUUUCUUACUUUCUUUUAGCUUUUAUUCGACGCUACGAACUAUCCUAAUUUCGCAAAAUCUCUCACUAAAAAACCUCUCACUAUAUAUAAUAGCAACAACCAGUAUAUUCUGGAACUUUCCGAUUCAUUACAGUUCUGACUCGCGCGUCCCACGUGUGAACAAAACAUUAUUUUAUACUAAAUAUAUAUUGAUUAUUAACAGUUUCCGUUUGUUAUAUAAUAUGACGUUUUGUUGACAGGAGGGUCAAAACAACAUGCCGAUGUGUAAAACAAAAUUCCAGACAAUCGCGCGACAAUACAAUAUCGUGACAAUACAAUCGCGUCGGCUGUCGGGCGAACAACGAAUAACUUAUGCUACAACCCCCCCCCCCAGACAGAACGUAAAAGCCCCGCUACCCCCGGAUAGCAGCAACUCGGAAAAAAAUUGACUAACGUACGAAAAUUCCUAGAUCCGCCCCUGAAUAGAGGCGCGUAUUAAGGAUGCAUCAGAGGAGGAACUAUGUACGGCUAGGCUAUCGCUAACGGUGUAAAGGCUACACUACCACAGGCAUUAGAACAGAGUUAGCCAGAGCAAAAGGGGGGGGGGGUCCACUAGUAUACAAGCGCAAUGCUAGCCGAAUACCAC
rnacentral:lncRNA from 1 species